CUCUCAGCCAUCCCUUCCUCCCACACCAAGCCGCAGCCCCAGCUACCUACUAACCUCAUCCCACCUCCUUGACCUGUCCGUCUUCCCUGGACUGACCUUUUCUCUCCUCUCCACCUUCGGUCCGCCUCCCCCUCUCUCCCUAUUUAUUCCAGUUCCCUCUCCCCGUCCCCCUCUCUGAUGAAGGGUCUAGGCCCGAAACGUCAGCUUUUGUGCUCCUGAGAUGCUGCUUGGCCUGCUGUGCUCAUCCAGCCUCACAUUUUAUUAUUUUAGGAGAGAGAGCUGUUUUGGUUUGUGAUACAAGAGACGAGGCUGUCUAUGCCUUUCACCCAUCGGUAGCUCUCCUCCUGUCCCUGCCUCUAUGCACACACUCUGCCAGGCAUAGUUUUCCUCCCUCUGUGUGUGUGUGUGUGUGUGUGUGUGUGUCUCUCUCUCUCUCGCUUCAGCUCCAAAAACCUAAGAUGCAUCGGAUAUAAAAACACGCACAUAAACACACACACACACAUCAACAAGCCAUGGAGAAAGAUCAGGAAUUACUGCAAGCUGUCAAAACCGAAGAUGUGGCUGCAGUGCAGAAGCUGUUGCCAAGGCCGAAACAAGGCAAAGCGAAUUCUGAUGUCGGUAACUGGAAAGCCUCCAUGGUUGGAGGACGAGAAGCCGUAUCCAAUUGAAGCAGCACGGGCUUCUGCGAUGACUGUGGAAACCACUGCUUAUGCCUUGCUUCAAGCAUUGUCAAGGAAUGAUAUUGACUAUGCAACACGGAUUGCGAGGUGGCUAACGAUGCAACAGAACUAUGGUGGUGGGUUUCACUCGACGCAGGACACACUCAUUGCCUUGGAAGCUUCAUCAUGAUACGACAUUGCAUUUCUGAAGAGGGAAGAAGAAAUCAACGUGCAAAUUCAAUUCCAUGGUUUUGGAAGUCCCAUUGAGAACACGAUUCAUGUGCGCUGGCAUAAUGCUCUGACCGAGAAAGAAUCGAAGCUUCCGCUUGGAAGAAAGAUUCACAUCAAGUUGACUGGUCAAGUAAAUGGGACACUGACUAACCAUACAAUUAGACUGUUUUGAUGAGGAACUUAAAGAUUACGAGUCCCGUCCGUUUGACUCAGAGUUUGGUACCAUAGGUUGGUACGAUCUUCGUUGGAGAAGGAAAAGGGAUGUUCCAGAUACAGAAAAUAGUCAAACCAUUUACUACAAAGUCCGUUUCUGGGUGGAGUUAGUGGAACCGAAAAAGAUGUCUCCCUCACAGCGUUUGUGACAAAAGAAUUGCAUUGUUCCUUGGCGGCCUUUCAACAGAAGAAUAUUCAGAGAUUUCACGAGUGUCAUUUUGUAUAGACCACAAACAGCAGAGGUCCCAGCACAGAUCCCUGCGGAACACCAAUCGUCCUGGAUCUACAGCCUGAAAAGCACCAUUCCACCUCUUGCCUCUGUCUUCUCUGGGCAAGCCAGUUGUGAAUCCAAGCAUCCAAGCCACCAUUGACUCGGUGCAUCUUAAUUUUCUGGAUGAUCCUAUCAUGAGGCACCUUGUUGAAAGUAUUGCUAAAAUCCAUGUCAACAAUAUCCACUGCUCUACCUUCAUUGAUCACAUUCGUCACCUCCUCAAAAAAUUCAGUCAAGUUAGGAAGACAUGACCUGCCCUGCACAAAGCCAUGCUGACUGUCCCGA